AGUUGUUCUGCAAUUUCAUAACAGUUUGGAAGCCCAUGGACUACAGUUGUAUCUUCAUUACAGAACUUGUGGAAUAAUUCCAAGCAAAAGAUUAGUAUAUGGGAGUAGAUCACGCACUAGACCUAUCAGUUCGAAAAUAUUCUAAAUGUGAACCUUCAUCUAUUUCUAUUCUGAAGAGCUUGGUCCAUAAACUUUUGUUUUCAAUUGAAGUAAAAUGUCCAAGUUGUCUAUCAUGAUGUUUAAUGAAUUUUAACAUUUUGGCAAUUUGAAUUCUAUCUCAAAACUGAUAU
rnacentral:misc_RNA from 1 species